GACGAACGCUGGCGGCGUGCUUAACACAUGCAAGUCGAACGGAAAGGCCCUGCUUUUGUGGGGUGCUCGAGUGGCGAACGGGUGAGUAACACGUGAGUAACCUGCCCUUGACUUUGGGAUAACUUCAGGAAACUGGGGCUAAUACCGGAUAGGAGCUCCUGCUGCAUGGUGGGGGUUGGAAAGUUUCGGCGGUUGGGGAUGGACUCGCGGCUUAUCAGCUUGUUGGUGGGGUAGUGGCUUACCAAGGCUUUGACGGGUAGCCGGCCUGAGAGGGUGACCGGCCACAUGGGGACUGAGAUACGGCCCAGACCCCUAGGGGGGGCAGAGGGGGGGAAUUUUGCACAAGGGGCGGAAGCCUGAUGCAGAAACGCCGGGGGGGGGAUGACGGCCUUCGGGUUGUAAACCGCUUUCGCCUGGGACGAAGGGGGAGUGACGGUAAUGGGUAAAGAAGCACCGGCUAACUACGU
rnacentral:rRNA from 1 species